GAUGAACGCUGGCGGCGUGCCUAAUACAUGCAAGUCGAGCGAACAGACGAGGAGCUUGCUCCUCUGACGUUAGCGGCGGACGGGUGAGUAACACGUGGAUAACCUACCUAUAAGACUGGGAUAACUUCGGGAAACCGGAGCUAAUACCGGAUAAUAUAUUGAACCGCAUGGUUCAAUAGUGAAAGACGGUUUUGCUGUCACUUAUAGAUGGAUCCGUGCCGCAUUAGCUAGUUGGUAAGGUAACGGCUUACCAAGGCAACGAGGCGUAGCCGACCUGAGAGGGUGAUCGGCCACACUGGAACUGAGACACGGUCCAGACUCCUACGGGAGGCAGCAGUAGGGAAUCUUCCGCAAUGGGCGAAAGCUUGACGGAGCAACGCCGCGUGAGUGAUGAAGGUCUUCGGAUCGUAAAACUCUGUUAUUAGGGAAGAACAAAUGUGUAAGUAACUAUGCACGUCUUGACGGUACCUAAUCAGAAAGCCACGGCUAACUACGUG
rnacentral:rRNA from 1 species